GUUGGCUGCUGCGAGGACAAGGAAGAGUCAGUGGCUAGAGGAACUGCCUACAAGAAACAUCAGGGAGCAGAGGCUUGUAGGCUGCCAAGGACCAGAGACUGCACAUCUGUGCUGCUGCUGGAGGUGCCUGCUUGUGACUCCUUCAUGUGCAAUGCCCUCCAGAGCUCCAGUUGAGUCACUUACAUGGCCACUGGUCUUGUCUGCAAGAGUCUGCCCUUUUCUCCUAAACCCUUCAGGUAUUUCAGCCAACCACAAGUAUUACUGAAGGAUUAGAAAAUAAGAUGACUUGGUACGGAUUUCUGGAUUUUAGGAUAAAUGUUUUACAUUCACAAAUUAUGCAAACUAUGGAUCUUCUGUUGUGGCUCAAUCCCAGGAAGCAGCUACCCGUCAGUAACUCCCAGGGAGGGCAGCUGCUGUUUUACUGUCUGAGGCACAGGAGCACAAGAAAUGUAAACACUGAGGAUUAGGGAAUCAGAGAUUGCCUCCCACAGCCAAGAUCCAAGAGCAGCAUCCCAGUUCUACCCCAAGGGAACACAUGAAUGAGUGGCAUCUCCCAGUUGCUGCUAGGAAAGAGCUGUGGGCAGCUGAGGAUCAGAGACUCAGGGAGCACUGAGUCCCUUCUCCUCCUGCCCCAGGUACCUCUGGAGCAGCCCCACUGUCUGCCUUGUCCCUGUGGAAGGUCACAAGCAGCA